GACGAACGCUGGCGGCGUGCCUAACACAUGCAAGUCGAACGGAAAGACCCUACUUUUGUGGGGUUCUCGAUUGCCGAACGCGUGAGUAACACGCGUGUAUCCUGCCCUUGUCUUUCGGAUAACUUCACGAAACUGGGGCUAAUAUAGGAUAGGAGCUCCUGCUCCAUGGUGGGGGUUGGAAAGUUUCGGCUUUUGUGGAUGGACUCGCGGCUUAUCAGCUUGUUGGUGAGGUAGUGGCUUACCAAGGCUUUGACGGGUAGCCGGCCUGAGAGGGUGACCGGGCACAUUGGGACUGAGAUACGGCCCAGACUCCUACGGGAGGCAGCAGUGGGGAAUAUUGCACAAUGGGCGGAAGCCUGAUGCAGAAACGCCGCGUGCGGGAUGACGGCCUUCGGGUUGUAAACCGAUUUCGCCUGUGACGAAGCGUGAGUGACGGUAAUGGGUAAAGAAGCACCGGCUAACUACGUG
rnacentral:rRNA from 1 species